UACGUAGGGGGCAAGCGUUGUCCGGAGUACUGGGCGUAAAGCGCACGCAGGCGGUCUGCUAAGUUUGGAGUGACAGUUGGUGGCUUAACUGCCAAAGUGCUUCGAAAACUGACAGACUUGAGGGCUUCAGAGGGACACGGAAUUCCGGGUGGAGUGGUGAAAUGCGUAGAGAUCCGGAGGAACACCAAAGGCGAAGGCAGAUCUCUGGGCCGUAACUGACGCUGAGGAGCGAAAGCAUGGGGAGCGAACAGG
rnacentral:rRNA from 1 species